UACAGAGGUCUCAAGCGUUGUUCGGAUUCAUUGGGCGUAAAGGGUGCGUAGGUGGCGCGGUAAGUCGGGUGUGAAAUUUCGGAGCUUAACUCCGAAACUGCAUUCGAUACUGCCGUGCUUGAGGACUGGAGAGGAGACUGGAAUUCAUGGUGUAGCAGUGAAAUGCGUAGAGAUCAUGAGGAAGACCAGUGGCGAAGGCGGGUCUCUGGACAGUUCCUGACACUGAGACACGAAGGCCAGGGGAGCAAACGGG
rnacentral:rRNA from 1 species